GGCGCUGUUUGAAGGGAUUAGGAGAUGUGGCCUUGUUGGAGGACAUGUGUGUGCAGGGAGGGGGGUAGUGGGCUUUGAGGUUUCGAAAGCCCAUGCAAAGCCCAGUCUGUCUAUCUGCCUGUCUCUCUCAGUCUGCAGAUUGGAGUGUAGGUCUCAGCUACUGCUCCAGAGCCACGCCUGCCUAUGGCCAAGCUUCCCACCAUGGUGAUAAUGGACUAAGCCUCUGAAACUGCCUUCAGGAACCUGGAAAAGAAGGGGAAAAUGCCAGAAGUUUCCACAGAGCUGAAGCCAGGUCAAGCCCUGUGUAGACCCAUCACCUCCAGGAUCUCAUCCGGGACUCAGGAGAGCACUUUGUCCUGCUGUGACUUCCGUUUCACAGCUGUGGAAUCCGAAAUCCAGAAAGGACACUUGUCUGAGGUCACAUACUCGCUGGCAAAGGCAGGCUGAAUUGGAUUGGCUGGUUACCCUUGGAUCGCCUUCUGGUCUUGUCCUCGGGUGGGUGGGCUGUCUGUGGAUCUUCAGAAGAGGCACAGUGCAGCCAUACCUCCCCCCUCUCUCUCUCUCUCUCACACACACACACACACACCCACACCUCAUGUGUAUGUUUGCCUGUGUGAACAGCUGAUACUUUCUUUGCAGAUAGGUGUGUGUGCAGGGCCUGAUGCUGGACCUCAUGCAUUAAACCCAUCUGAACUGAGGAGCCCCCACUCCUGCCCCAAGAUGCUGUCACGGUCAGCUCCUGUUAUCUCCUGGCAAAAUUACCUGGGGCUCUUGAGGCUACUUCAGCUCUGGUUCCCAGCCCUAGUUAUGGGAAAGCAAUCACAUCGCCAGCCAGCGCUUCCCAGUGUCUUUGAAGAAACCUGAGUUACAGCUCCCAAGUCCCGAGCCACUUAGCUUGUCAACGGCAGAGCGGCCAGAGCAAGCACCCUUCUUCCCCAGAGCUGGCUGAAGAGGAGUCUUGUGACUCAGGACAGAGCACGACUCUUGAAUAAAUCACACUCCUGCAGCUAAACUGUCCAAUUCCUCAACUAAACUGCCAAGCG